rfam:Nicotiana sylvestris Nsyl_contig9368, whole genome shotgun sequence.
CUGACAGAAGAGAGUGAGCACACGCAGGCAAUUGUAUAUAGAUUAUAUUACUGUCAUUUGCGUGUGCUCACUUCUCUUGCUGUCAU